UACGGGGGGGGCAAGCGUUGUUCGGAAUUACUGGGCGUAAAGGGCGCGUAGGCGGUUGGAUAAGUCAGCUGUGAAAACCACGGGCUUAACUCGUGGCCUGCAGUUGAGACUGUCUGGCUUGAGUGUGGGAGAGGAGAGUGGAAUUCCUGGUGUAGCGGUGAAACGCGUAGAUAUCAGGAGGAACACCGGUGGCGAAGGCGGCUCUCUGGACCACAACUGACGCUGAGGCGCGAAAGCUAGGGGAGCAAACAGG
rnacentral:rRNA from 1 species